GACGAACGCUGGCGGCGUGCUUAACACAUGCAAGUCGAACGGAAAGGUCCUGCUUGCAGGGUGCUCGAGUGGCGAACGGGUGAGUAACACGUGGGUGAUCUGCCCCUUACUUUGGGAUAAGCCUGGGAAACUGGGUCUAAUACUGGAUAGGACCAUGCUGUAGGUGGUGUGGUGGAAAGAUUAGUUUCGGUUAGGGAUGAGCUCGCGGCCUAUCAGCUUGUUGGUGGGGUAAUGGCCUACCAAGGCGUCGACGGGUAGCCGGCCUGAGAGGGUGGACGGCCACAUUGGGACUGAGACACGGCCCAGACACCUACAGGAGGCAGCAGUGGGGAAUAUUGCACAAUGGGCACAAGCCUGAUGCAGCGACGCCGCGUGGGGGAUGACGGCCUUCGGGUUGUAAACUCCUUUCAGCCAUGACGAAGCCCUUGUGGUGACGGUAGUGGUAGAAGAAGCACCGGCUAACUACGUG
rnacentral:rRNA from 1 species